rnacentral:lncRNA from 1 species
AUGAUGACCGCCUCUUGUUCCUGUACCAUCCGGGUGAACGGUCGCUGUCUUGACGCGGCUCCUCGGUGUGGAAAGCGCCGUCGUCUCCCUGUCGAGUCAUCGCCAGAGCAGAGCCGAGCCGAGCAGAGCCCGGAGCACGCGGAGCCGCCGUCCGAUGGCUUGAAACACGGGGGGGGGAAUAAGUGUGGAUCGCGUCGGAUUAAUUGCACCGCACCAGGCGAACGGGGGCAAAGCGGCGCCGGGCAGGAGCGGAGCGGAGCGGACGGAGCGGACGGAUGGGGAGACACAGCGCAGUGUGAGCGAGGCUGCUGCCUUCGCGGACCCCGGACACCGACAGCACGGAGACGAGCCGGAGAGAAGCAGCGGAGCCGCCGCGACACCAGCGGGCGAACUUGGCUUCCCUUCCCCGCCGCGGGAGGUGUCUGUCGGUCGGCACGUCCCGCUCACAGCCCUCGCCGCCGGGGGCCCCGGAGAGGGACGCGGUCGAGGCAGUAGUUGAGCGCACAGCGGCGGUGUCACUACGAUCGUUUAGGGUCUUCUUGAGCAACCAACUGUGGCUUUAACGUGACGCACUCCACGGACACUGGUGCUGCCGGAGCCGACCCCCGCCCCCGAACCAGCGGAGGAGUCGAAGGCUUCUCCAUCAAGUUGGAACCGUCGUGUCCCUCCGGUGAGCUGACGAUGUGACAGGUAACGGUGCGGUUCUUCUGCCUCGUGGUGUCUCUGUGUCUGAGUCGUGAGCAGCCUCGCCCCCUCACAGCCCGGUGAAUCUCCGACGACUCAUAUGAAAUAUGAAUAUGUGCCAUCAUCAUAAGUUACAUUUGGCUUCGCUCCUUGACUGCUAGUGUCGAGUCUAGCUCCUCCGUACCUCGUGUUUUCUCUCCUGUGCUCUUUUCUAUGAGAUCAACUCUUUUUCCCCCUUUAGCUUUUAUCGACCCACAAUUAAAACAUUUUAAAUAAUAUUUUACUACAAAUUUUUUAUCUGCACUUAAUUCAAAAUACUGGCCAUUUACUUCUACUUUAAACGCAACUUUGACCCUUCAGUUUUAGCUAUGCUUGAAUGUUUUUAUUAUCAUAUCAUAUAGAAUAAGAAUUUAAUUUAUUUUUAUUGUUUUAGUGAAUAUUUUUAUAACCUAAUAUUGUAUAAACACUUUGAAUAAAUAUUCCAUCUAUUUUGCGUGAUAUAGCUAGUCUAUGCUAGCAGGGCUAACUUCAGGUUAACUAAUGAGUCAUUGAGGACACCUGUGAUGUUACUAAUGUAUAUUUACACACCUGUUGAAUAAGCUUCCGUUACUCUAAAUACUAAUGUGGCGCACCUGGCCUUAACAUCACAAUCUGCAGUCAAAAUGGACCAAAUGCAAUAAAAUCUAUAUAAAAAACAUGAACUUUUUAUAUAUUUAAACGACCACCAUCCCUCAGCUGUUGUGAAAUCACCGUGCAAACGUCUCCUCGUGGCUCGUGUCUUGAAUAAGCUUCAUGUCAAGAGGAGGCAGAUGCUUUUUUUCCCCCAGCAGCAUUUAGUCUAAAUAGAUUCCCAGGGCGAUACUGAAGUUGAACGUUAGCCCGCAAUAUUAUAAAGAGUAUUAGGUGUUUAUCCCUUUCAGGCAAUCGACUUGUAAGUUCAGGGGGGGUUGCAGAGCUGUCCAGUGAAAUAUUUAGAUCUGAGGGAUGAAACACAACCUGUAAGCCACUUCAGUGAGUGUGUCUCUUUUCACACGUUAGUCAUCCGUCUGGUCUCUUCAGUCGUGUGUCAUCGUGCUGUGUAAUGUGUUACCUCAUUGAUCACCGUAGGUCCUUUCUCCACAGUGUACACCUGGACUGGAGGUAGAGACAUCUGGUUGAGUGAAAUACUCCUUUCAAGCUGCGGGGCAGACAGGUGCCAUCACAUGCCCAAAUAGUUCCAGGCUCAUGAAUCUGAGGGAUUGUUUCAGGCACAAUUAAAAAACCUACUCAUAAAUUAUCAUUGAACAUUAGAAGCGGGAGAGAAAAAUCACUGAGAUUUGACCUGAUUGCCUUAAGGCACAUGUACCUUCUGUGACUUCUUCAGGACUAAUCCUUUACCCACUCCCCUUGAUCGAGGCAGUCGACAGUGUCCUGUCGGGCCAAACUGAUCUCUGGAAUAUUAGGAAACAGUCUGGACAAAUCUAAUUUAAAAGUAUCUUCAGAACAAUUACAAGUUUCAUAUUGCCUGCAAAGAAAACUCACAGUUUAUCGACGUGAGAUCAUUUUGGGGUUUUUGCGUCCUUUGCAGCUCAUAUGCCUUCAUAUGAAGUGGUCACACACCAAUUGGAUUGAUUUGUUGUGAGUGUGGUUUGGGGCCGUUUUCAGUUUACUGAGUCACUUUGCACAAGACCUGGGAAAACUUGUUAUGGGUUGUUGUUUUAAAAAUUAAUUAAUGUUCUGUGAUUAUCUAUAACAUCAUGUUCUCCUAUGCCACUAUGAUAACACAGUAGACUUCUGCAACUGCCACUUCAGCAAGCACAUUUCUUAGCUUCUCAUAAGUUUUCAGUUAUUUGGCAUGUACUGCAACACACUCAGAUAUGGAUUUUGUUUCUGUGCAGCGGUUCUAUCUCCGUCACCCUGAGUGCCCCCCCUCCGCUCCUCUCUCAUGUCAAGCUGCUGAAUUGCCACCGAGUAGCCUAACCGCGGGGUCAGCUAGGCUGUGGUGACUAUGGGCUAAAUUUGGAACGUGGAGCAAUUAGGGCGCACACUCUGCUGCUUCCCUCCACUGCAUUAACUACACAGGGGCGACUCGGAGGGAAAGACUGACGCGCUGAUGCAGAACUCUUUGUUGUCACUGAGCUGGAGUUGGAGAUUAAAAGUAAUGCAGGGUUCAACUCCAAGUCAAACGCUCACAGAUAAGUCAAAUCAAGUGUGCAGGGUUGUUUUUUUUCUUGCGUCAAAAGUCUGUGUAAUUCUGCCAACAGCCAAAUCUGGAAUAAUGAGUUACUCGUCUAAUAAAUGUAAAUAUUUAUUUUAAGACGUGAGAAACCCAGUGUUGUCAUUCAGUGGCCUAGUUUGACUGGUUUACCAACCUAAUUUACUGCUCUUACAGUAGUGCUGAGAGAAAGAGAGAUUUGCUACCUGUAACCAGCGUUUGGCUUGAGUUAAUUUCCCACAGUGCUUGUGUCACUCAUAUUACUGAUCAUUGGCCAAAUGGUGAUAAAAUACGACAAGUAUCUGACAGCUUGUAUUUUCUACUAGUCACUUUAGCAGGGAACCAAGUAUCAUUUAAGGAGUCCCAUGAAGUUGGUUAUAGACCUAUGAGGUGAUUUUUGUGAUGUAUGGUCAGAUAUGUAAAGAAAUAAUCUUUCAGCUCUCUCCUGUCUCUUUAUUUCCAGUGACAAGAACAGAAGAGGACCAAGCUGGAGCAGGCUAGGCGUCUGUCUGGCCUUACUAGGCAGGCCAGCAACCUCUCAACGGAGUCCUGCCGUCAGUGAGCAGUGGAGGAUUCAGCCUGUUCAUACCAAAAAUGCAAUAGAUCUCCGACUAGAGCUGUAACAGAUUGGAUUCCUACCCUGUUUCAUCUAAUCAGCCACACUGGUCUGUUAGAUCUCCGGUUCUUCCAUGUCGUGGUGUUUGCUCUCUGGAUUUUGGCAUCAGGAUGGAUUCAAGUGUUAAUUUGACAGGUGUCAAAUCAUUGCAGUGCUUGCACUCCCCCUCCUCUGACUACCUUUUGCCCCGCCCCUCCCCAAUCUUAAAGAGAAAGCCCCUUAGCCUCCCCUGGGGCUUCCCUGAGCCCUGUAUGGAAGGGCCUUGCAGGAACUGUGGGUUGUCUUGUUGAAACAAGUUAACAUUGCAAAGGGGAAGUAGAUAAUAAAUUCUUGCAAAAAACCCAACAACAACUACAGAACAACAAAAAUUGCUACUGUCAAAUUGGUUUGAUUGAUUCAUGGUCUGUAACUUGUCCAAAUUUCUUUUCCUGGAGUUUGAUCAGAGUUCGGAAAGCUUUUCACUUGAAAAGGAGCUUGCUGGUCAAGAUUUGCACCCACAAUCAUUUAACACAUAAAUUGGUGUGAUUACUUAUAUUAAAAAAUUAUAUUAUUUAUAUAUAUCAAAUUUUUCUCUUGUGGUCUGAGCCUUGCAAUAAGAAUGUCUGAAAGCGAUAGCAACAGCAAAGCGGUGAAAUUCAUUGCCCCGGCCCCCCCUCCUCCCUCUGCCUCCCUCUGUCCAUCACCCCAGACCCCUCAAAAGAAUGUGAACGGCUCUGCCAGUUCAGACUCGCAUGUGGUGGAGAAGCUGGGGGGACACCCCGAGGUCCAACGUCGGCGCCACACGCUGGAUAGAGACUCUAAAACAGCUGAGCACCGCUUCUUCCGCCGCAGCGUAAUAUGUGACUCUAAUGCCACGGCUCUGGACCUGCCCAGCAAAGCAGCUGUGAUACUC